AUGGCCAGCGCGCCCACUGCAAGCGAGCACGCGCCGCCUGCGUCUGCCACCGCUCCCGUCCCCGUUCCAGUCCGGCCGGUCGACCUCCCCCCACCGGUGGUACCCGCCAGCACCGCCGCGCCGGUGGACGGCAGCCGUCUGUCCGAGCAGGACGAAGCGGUGGUCCUCCAGUCCCUCCGGGCCCACCUCUGGAGCCACGGCGACCUCCCCCGCGGCGCCGACCUCGUCGACAUCUUCUUCGGCCGGCUCAGCAGGGCGGACUACAGCCUCUGGGACAUCGAGGCCAAGAUCCGGGCCCUGCGGCGCCGGUUCCGGGAGGCCGACGCCGCGCUCUGCACCGGCACCGGCUGCCCGGCCCCCGGGCACGGCCUCCGGAUGUACGCGCUCUCGCUCGAGGUCUGGGGCGCCACGCCCGCCGUCGUUGCCCCGCCCCGGCGCGACCCGGUGCCCGACAAGGACGCGGCGUCCACGGCGGUGACGGCGGUGGGGAACAGGAUGCCUGUAACGCCGGUGCCGCGCGCUGCCCCUGCCCCUGCUCCUGCUAAGAAGAGGCGCUGCGAGGAGUACCCCGCGCUGGCGAGGGAGGCGGAGAGGCUGACGAGGGAGGCCCUGGAGCGCAUCGACGACGUGACGGCGUGGUCGCUGGAGAUGGGGGCGAGCAAGAAGGAGCAGCGGCGUCUGCGGAGGAUGAGGAAACAGUACCGGCAACAACAGCCAGCCGGCGGCGUGCCCGGCGGUGGGCGCGCCGAGGGCGGGAGCAAGGAGCUGGCUAGCCUGAUCGUGAAGCUUCUUAGAGGCAACCAUGGCCCCUCAGCUGGGAACCAGAGGAGAUGA
rnacentral:rRNA from 1 species